GCCAUCAGCAAUGCCCCAGACGAUUGGGUAGACAGUCCAGAUGAUCAAAGUGAAGCCACCGAUGGCAGCGAAGAAGUUGCCGACCUUGCCACCCUUGGCGCUGGCAGAUGCGCGUCCGUGAACCAACAAUUGCCAGAUCACAACGAGGUAGGCAAUGCAAGCAAUGGCGUACCAGCCCCACUUCUGUGGAGUGCCCUCAGAGCCGAAAGCAGCAAAG
rnacentral:misc_RNA from 1 species